rnacentral:rRNA from 1 species
GUUCCGCCAGGAGCACCGCUGGGUAGCUAUGUACGGAAGGGAUAAGCGCUGAAAGCAUCUAAGCGUGAAGCCCCCCUCAAGACUGAGAUUUCCCAAUUAGUAAGACCCCUUGAAGACGACGAGGUAGAUAGGUUGGGGGUGGAAGUGCAGUAAUGCAUGGAGCUGACCAAUACUAAUCGGUCGAGGGCUUAUCCUAAAGAUAAGACGCAAUGAGUU